UCUCUGCUCUGUUGUGUCAAAUCAAACUCCCUUAUAUCUUCACAAGUUAGAAAAUGCCCUUUAUGCUAGAGAUCAUCAUGGCCAAGAACAACAAUUGCUUUAAAGAUGUACAUGGUAUCCACAAAGAACAAUGAUAGGAUACAGAAUCCUGGAUAUGCCGCUGUAGCAAAGGAGCGGAUGGAUGAUUAAGCAGGGUACACAUAGUCACGCACCCGUUCGUUACCAAUACAACAUUUAAAAAGUCCGUGCAGGUACUUCGUGGCAACCUACAGUGACUGGUGAACACUCUUUCCUAUUUCUGUUCUGGAUAUCUGCACAGUUGUUAUUUCUCCCUAAAUAAAAUCACUGAAAUUGAUCUUGUA